rnacentral:tRNA from 1 species
GUGGCUCAGUGAUAGAGUACUUGGUUUGCAUGCAUGAGCCCUGGGUUCGAUUCCCAGC